UACAGAGGGGGCAAGCGUUAUUCGGAAUUAUUGGGCGUAAAGGGCGCGUAGGCGGCCUUCUAAGUCGAACGUGAAAUCCCCGGGCUCAACCCGGGAACUGCGUCCGAUACUGGAAGGCUUGAAUCCGGGAGAGGGAUGUGGAAUUCCAGGUGUAGCGGUGAAAUGCGUAGAUAUCUGGAGGAACACCGGUGGCGAAGGCGACAUCCUGGACCGGUAUUGACGCUGAGGCGCGAAAACCAGGGGAGCAAACGGG
rnacentral:rRNA from 1 species